CGUGGGUAACCUGCCCAAGAGACUGGGAUAACACCUGGAAACAGAUGCUAAUACCGGAUAACGAACACUAGACGCAUGUCUAGAGUUUAAAAGAUGGUUCUGCUAUCACUCUUGGAUGGACCUGCGGUGCAUUAGCUAGUUGGUAAGGUAACGGCUUACCAAGGCAAUGAUGCAUAGCCGAGUUGAGAGACUGAUCGGCCACAUUGGGACUGAGACACGGCCCAAACUCCUACGGGAGGCAGCAG
rnacentral:rRNA from 1 species